rnacentral:rRNA from 1 species
UACGGAGGAUGCAAGCGUUAUCCGGAAUGAUUGGGCGUAAAGCGUCCGCAGGUGGCUGUGUAAGUCUGCUGUUAAAGAGUCUAGCUCAACUAGAUAAAAGCAGUGGAAACUACACGGCUAGAGUACGUUCGGGGCAGAGGGAAUUCCUGGUGUAGCGGUGAAAUGCGUAGAGAUCAGGAAGAACACCGGUGGCGAAAGCGCUCUGCUGGACCUUAACUGACACUGAGGGACGAAAGCUAGGGGAGCGAAUGGG